rnacentral:rRNA from 1 species
AUGGUCCUCCUUCCAAAAACCCAAGCCCCAACCUCCCCUGAUGCAUUUAGACCAAUCUCUUUACAAAACUGUACCCCAAAAGCGGUGGCCAAAGUUCUUACCAACAGGGUCAAACCCCUCAUCCCACUGCUCAUUCACUACGACCAAACAAGAUUUCUCCAUGGACGCAACAUUGCUGAAAAUUUUAUUUAUGCUGGUGAUAUUCUCAGCGCUUGCCACACAAGAAAGGCCCCCACCAUGGUCAUCAAGCUCGACUUCAGAAAAGCUUUUGACUCCAUUUCUUGGUCCUCUCUAAUAUCGAUCUUACAAGUGCGAGAUUUCCCUCCCAUCUUCUAUACAUGGGUCCAAAACAUUCUACAUACUGGCAAAACAACUAUUCUCCUUAAUGGCACUCCGGGGUCCUGGAUCCAAUGCAGAGCUGGCCUUCGACAAGGUGAUCCCUUCUCGUCGUAUCUUUUCAUCAUCGUCGCAGAUGUACUC